AAAGCACGAUGAGGGAACUUUCUAAGAAUCUCCUUGAAUCUCUCGUAACUCUCAAAAAUAGAUUAUCCUUCUAACUGAGUAAUAGAAGUAAUUUUAUUUUUAAGUUU